rnacentral:rRNA from 1 species
UGGGGAAUAUUGCACAAUGGGCGAAAGCCUGAUGCAGCAACGCCGCGUGAGUGAUGAAGGCCUUCGGGUUGUAAAGCUCUGUCUUUUGGGACGAUAAUGACGGUACCAAAGGAGGAAGCCACGGCUAACUACGUGCCAGCAGCCGCGGUAAUACGUAGGUGGCAAGCGUUGUCCGGAUUUACUGGGCGUAAAGGAUGCGUAGGCGGAUUUUUAAGUGAGAUGUGAAAACCCUAAGCUUAACUUGGGGACUGCAUUUCAUACUGGAAAUCUAGAGUGCGGGAGAGGAGAAUGGAAUUCCUAGUGUAGCGGUGAAAUGCGUAGAGAUUAGGAAGAACACCAGUGGCGAAGGCGAUUCUCUGGACCGUAACUGACGCUGAGGCAUGAAAGCGUGGGUAGCAAACAGGAUUAGAUACCCUGGUAGUCCACGCCGUAAACGAUGAGUACUAGGUGUAGGAGGUAUCGACCCCUUCUGUGCCGCAGUUAACACAAUAAGUACUCCGCCUGGGAAGUACGAUCGCAAGAUUAAAACUCAAAUGAAUUGAC